rfam:Kluyvera ascorbata ATCC 33433 GKAS.assembly.017, whole genome shotgun sequence.
GAGUCGCACAAUGAAGUGAACAUUAGGAUGAUGGCACUUCAUAGGACACACCGGGAAGGUGAUUCAAGGAAAGGCUUCAGGAUGAAGCAAAAGGACAACGCAGGAACGCGUUAAAGGACACCUCCAGGACGGAGAAUGAGAGCCAGACAGGAUAUCUGGUGGAUCAGGAAGAUCAGGACACACUCAAGGAUUGGGUGAAAUCACAUCGGGGUGGUGUGAUGCAGGAAGCAACCGUUUAUGGAUGAACAUGGUCAGGAGACCACAGGAAAAGUUGUCACGGAUGAGCAGGGAGCACCAAAAGUAGCUGGAUUGCUGCGAAACGAACCGGGAGCACUGUUUUUACAGUGCUCCCUUUUUUUUGU